GACAGAGGGUGCAAACGUUGUUCGGAAUUAUUGGGCGUAAAGAGCUCGUAGGCGGUCUGUCGCGUCUGCUGUGAAAAUCCAGGGCUCAACCCUGGACCUGCAGUGGGUACGGGCAGACUAGAGUGCGGUAGGGGAGAUCGGAAUUCCUGGUGUAGCGGUGAAAUGCGCAGAUAUCAGGAGGAACACCGGUGGCGAAGGCGGAUCUCUGGGCCGUAACUGACGCUGAGGAGCGAAAGCAUGGGGAGCGAACAGG
rnacentral:rRNA from 1 species